GAUGAACGCUGGCGGCGUGCCUAAUACAUGCCAGUCGAGCGAACGGACGAGAAGCUUGCUUCCCUGAUGUUAGCGGCGGACGGGUGAGUAACACGUGGAUAACCUACUUAUAAGACUGGGAUAACUUCGGAAAACCGGAGAUAAUACUGGAUAAUAUUUUGAACCGCAUGGUUCAAAAGUGAAAGACGGUCUUGCUGUCACUUAUAGAUGGAUCCGCGCUGCAUUAGCUAGUUGGUAAGGUAACGGCUUACCAAGGCAACGAUGCAUAGCCGACCUGAGAGGGUGAUCGGCCACACUGGAACUGAGACACGGUCCAGACUCCUACGGGAGGCAGCAGUAGGGAAUCUUCCGCAAUGGGCGAAAGCCUGACGGAGCAACGCCGCGUGAGUGAUGAAGGUCUUCGGAUCGUAAAACUCUGUUAUUAGGGAAGAACAUAUGUGUAAGUAACUGUGGACAUCUUGACGGUACCUAAUCAGAAAGCCACGGCUAACUACGUG
rnacentral:rRNA from 1 species